CUACGGGAGGCAGCAGUGGGGAAUAUUGGACAAUGGGCGCAAGCCUGAUCCAGCCAUGCCGCGUGGGUGAAGAAGGCCUUCGGGUUGUAAAGCCCUUUUGUCCGGAAAGAAAUCCUGUCGGUUAAUACCCGGCGGGGAUGACGGUACCGGAAGAAUAAGCACCGGCUAACUUCGUGCCAGCAGCCGCGGUAAUACGAAGGGUGCAAGCGUUACUCGGAAUUACUGGGCGUAAAGCGCGCGUAGGCGGUUCGUUAAGUCCGAUGUGAAAGCCCUGGGCUCAACCUGGGAACUGCAUUGGAUACUGGCGAGCUAGAGUGCGGUAGAGGAUGGUGGAAUUCCCGGUGUAGCGGUGAAAUGCGUAGAGAUCGGGAGGAACACCAGUGGCGAAGGCGGCCAUCUGGACCAGCACUGACGCUGAGGCACGAAAGCGUGGGGAGCAAACAGGAUUAGAAACCCCGGUAGUCC
rnacentral:rRNA from 1 species